CAGUCGCCGCGGUAAAACGGAGGAUGCAAGCGUUAAUCGGAAUUACUGGGCGUAAAGCGCACGCAGGCGGUCUGACAAGUUAGAUGUGAAAUCCCCGGGCUUAACCUGGGAACUGCAUUUGAAACUGUCAGGCUGGAGUCUUGUAGAGGGGGGUGGAAUUCCAGGUGUAGCGGUGAAAUGCGUAGAGAUCUGGAGGAAUACCGGUGGCGAAGGCGGCCCCCUGGACAAAGACUGACGCUCAGGUGCGAAAGCGUGGGGAGCAAACAGGAUUAGAUACCCCAGUAGUCCCUGUCUCUUAUAC
rnacentral:rRNA from 1 species